rnacentral:rRNA from 14 species
UUGAAGAGUUUGAUCAUGGCUCAGAUUGAACGCUGGCGGUAUGCUUAACACAUGCAAGUCGAACGGAAACGAUACUAGCUUGCUAGUAGGCGUCGAGUGGCGGACGGGUGAGUAACGCGUAGGAAUCUGCCUGAUAGUGGGGGAUAGCCCGGAGAAAUUCGGAUUAAUACCGCAUAAUCUAUUCGUAGUAAAGUGGGGGACUUUCGAGCCUCACGCUAUCAGAUGAGCCUGCGUAAGAUUAGCUUGUUGGUGAGGUAAUGGCUCACCAAGGCUACGAUCUUUAGCUGGUCUGAGAGGAUGAUCAGCCACACCGGGACUGAGACACGGCCCGGACUCCUACGGGAGGCAGCAGUCGGGAAUAUUGCGCAAUGGGGGAAACCCUGACGCAGCAACGCCGCGUGAAGGAUGAAGGCUUUCGGGUUGUAAACUUCUUUUA